UGUGCGCACACACCGCACGGCCCGCGGGAAACAACCGCUGGUUUGCUUUCCAGAGAAAGUUCUUGAAUUCAGAACUUGGGUUCGCAGGUGCAAACAAGUCCGUUUGUUGAGAUGCUGGUAUAGUGGAAGAGAAAAAUGCAGGAAUGUUUGUGUAAAAUGGUUGUCUUGGAAAAAUAUGUGACUGUUUCUUUUAGAAAGAAAUAAUUUCUUUUGGUCAUUUUUUUGAGGUGGGGAAUGUAUGCCCCGGAGCGAGGGAGAAGCAGGACACGGGUGACAGAGAUAAUGAAGUGCAGGAGAGCAGGUUCAGGGAAGGAAUGUAACGGGAAAGAAGGAUGGGAGUAAUGAAUAGUAAUGGUGAAUAACUUAACUGGGUUAUGUCUUUUUUUGGCACUAUGGAGAAAGGUUUCUAAUGAAACGACAACACAUUCCAAAGUGACAAAUGAUUUGCAUAAUGAAUUAUUAACCGAUGGCGCUUGUUGCUGCAGGGGAAGUUUGGGGUGAGAGCUGAGAAGAAGUUGCAGGCUCCCCUCAGGCUGGCUGCAUGUGACACUGACCCUGGGCAGGCCCACUGGCAGAGAACAGUGUUAUGAUAAUUUAAAGUAGAUAAAAGAGGAAGAAAUGAAAGGCUUGGCAGCCCCGUGCUCAGUGCAAUGGUGACAGGACUGCUGCACGUGGAAGGCUGGGCUGUGCCACUGCAGGAGCCAGAGGUGUUGGGAGUGUCUGUGCUCUGGGCUGAAAGCAGCUGUGGGUACUGGCCAGUUCGGGUGUAUCCCACAGCUGCCUCCAGCCUGGUCCCCCUGGGUAGGUGUCUGAGGAGAAUCUGAAAUGCACACCUGCAGUCUGGAGGGCAGGUGAAUGCCCCAUUCCAUGGCCUUGGUGCGAUGUCCCAGCCGUGCCCUGCUGCAUCCCUGCAUCUGGUGCUGCUCUGACUUAGCUGUCCUUGGAGCUGGCUGUGUUGGAAGCCUGGAGUGUAAGUGUGAGGUCCUGGAGCUGUGAUGGGAGCCUGCACUGCCCAUUGGCAGGGUGCUGCCCCGCAGGGCUGGGGUUUGGCUCCCACAGCAGACAGGCUGUAAAGGCUCUUGUGAAGUUCCACUGUCCAGGAGGGUUUCUGUGGCCACAGGAAGGUUCUUAAAUGUGUGUUGUAGAUGAAGAUCUGAUGGCCAGCUUAGAUUAAAUCAUAGGCUUCCCUCUCUGGUUUUAUUUCCUUCGAGUACUUGUUUCAUUCUGCUGCUUCAGUGUCAGUGAGGAGGUUGUAUUGACAGUUUAUUGACUGUAAUUAGGGGCAUGAGCCUCAGCACCUCUUCAUUCCUAAAUAGUGGAUGAUUUCUGCUCGGGGUGAUUACUGUUCAGGAACUGCUGGAUAAUCUGAAGACAUCAUUUUCUGAUACUGAGGAAGUCACACGUGUUGGGCUGUAAAAGGCCUUGUGGUAACUCUGUUGCUUUCAAAGGCUUAAGAGGUGUUUUCCUUAGGCAUAUUUUCGAUGGGAAUGUUGUAAACAGCAUGUUAGCUAAGGGCAGCUUGUUAAGGUAAAACUGCAAGGAAAAGUUCUGUUCCCAUUUGUUAUGAUUUAUGUUCAUGCCAAGGAUGAUUUUUGCAACUAUGAGUUUAUCAGCAAAUUCCUGCUACUACUCUUGUCUGGAGGGAAGGGAGAGGGAGGAUCUGGCAGAGUUCAGUCACUUCCCUGGGAAUUCCUGCCCUUCGGUGUGACCUGCUGUGCCCAGCCCUACACACAGGCUCUCCUCUCCCUUGCAUGACUGGUAGUCUCCACUGUUUUUGUCCCUUAAGGAUUAGAGCAGUUUCCUAUGGUUAUUAUUUUUUAAUUUAAUUUUAUUAACAAUUAUAUACUGUAAACUUAGUUUCCCAAGUUAUGCAGCAAAGUAAACAACAUUUCUUUCCUCCUACCCCCUAAUUAUUUACCAAAAGGAUGCACAUGUAAAUAUGUUUGAAUGCUGUCCCUGGUUACAUUUGGAGCCUGCUCUGCCGAGAAUAUGUGCAAUUGCAAUUCCAUUAGUAUCAAAGAGAGUUCCCAGCAAUUAACAAGGAAAGAGAAGGGACUAUUAAAACUGUGCUGUGGUUGUGCUGAAACUUCAGUUCACCCUAAGAUAAGAAAAUACAGUUAAUGUGCCGAGUUGUGAGGUGAAGGCUUGCUGUGGUUGCUGUGAGGAUGCUGGUGCCCACUCUCCCUUCAGCAGUCUGUGCAAGGGGAAUGUCCUGGGCAGGACUGUGAUCAGAGGAAAAAGCCGGUGACAAAUGUUGGUUUACCCUGAUCUGUGCAUUCAAAACCAGCAGUAAGUUUUGCUGUUGUGAAGAUGCUCUGAAGUCUCCUCAACAGCUUCAGAGGCAGCGACAGAAGAGCAACAGCAGCACCUGAGCUGGGGCAGGCUGACAGAUACGAGGCUUCCUAUGCCCAUUGUGGAGUUUGGGGUUUGAUGUGUGCCGAUUUCACCUCAGGGUGAAAUCCCACUAUCUAUCAGAUAAAGAAUUGCUUUUCAUAAAGGGUCAAUUAAUUUUUUUAAAUAUCUACUUUCUGUCAACUCCUACCCUGUGAAACAGUCCAUGUUUCAGAUUAUGUGCAUGUAAUUGCUAUAGAAGAAUAUUUUUAUCCAAAAUAUCUUUAUUUUAAGUAGCUGGGAAGAAAAAAAAAGUUUGCAAUAGGUAUAAUCUGUCACCAGUAAAAUCUGACUUGAGUUUCUCACAAUUCAGCUAGAUUUAUCUUGAAUUUUUGAAGGUAAAAUUGCUGUUGGUACGAAUUAGUAAGAGCAGCAGCGGUGUGUAAGGUGACAGACAGCACUUCUGUCACAAGGGUGCAAAAUCCUGCAUGUUGGUUUGAGUGUACAGGAAAAGCCAGGCAGCCAGGCCUGGGGAGAAUGCAGCUGGGCCUGAGUUUUGUGUAGCCAGUUUCUAAUUCCCAUUGGGCAGGUGCCUGACCAGCAUCAGCCCAGCCUGGAGAAUGGGCCAGCUCAGCUUGGGCCUGCCUGUCCUUCCAGAGCCCCACUACCUCCUGGAGCUGCCCUGACCUGAGCACUGUGAUCAAAUCUAUCACUGCUGUGUGCUCGUGGGACCUUUGCUUUGGGCAAAGAGGCCAAAUACUACUUUUUUCAGAAAAAUAUUUUGGUACGUAAACACGCAAGGUGCACACGAGCAGCUGAACCGAGUGAACUUCCGCAGAAUAAAAGGCAAUGAGAACUAGAUGUGUUGGAAUAUGUCCAGUCCUUGUGUGUUCUGAGCAGAGCUCCUGCACAGCCCGCCGUGGUUAGCCUGGCUGGGCUGGGCUCCUUUUAUCAGUCCUUGUGAAUGUACAGGUGGCAGCGCCUGCAGAGCGCCCGGCUUUCCCUGUGGGAAGUGUACCUCGCUGUCCGCCCUGGGGCAGGCUGCUCUUGUAAAAGGAAUUUCUUUUCCCUUAUGUAACUUGUUGGUGUUACAUCCAGAGUCGGCUCUUGCAAAAGUGCGUCAGUCUUGCUUGCAGCGGCACAGAAAAAAAACUUACCAGAGCGUGCACUGAAUUCCCCCCUUAUCUCUCUAUAGCACAUUUUAUGUAUCUUGUAGAGAGAUGUUUUGUUUCUACAGUUUCAGACUUCGUGUUUCAGAAGAUUAAUAGACUUAGCAGCCCUGUUUGCUCAGCUUAGCAGCGAUAACAAUGUAAUAAGUCAUGAGACGGUCGCAGAUCAUCUGGCAAGGCAAAGUAUGCCUCGGACUUGAACUUGGAGCAGGUUGGUACUAAGAAGUGCCUUUCCUGACGUCGCUGCUGCUUGGGACCGCUUCUAGAGCAGCCGCUGCUUUUGCCUUGCUUGCUGCCAGCUAGACUGCGACGACAGCGCUCCGCCGCUGCCAGCCCCGCGCCCGCCGGGAGGACGGUCCGGCGCUGCUCCCCCGCCGCCGCUGCACUGUGCACUAAAGUGUGCCCCGAAGGUCAGAGCUCUGCUGCCCGAAAGCCAAGGAGAGGAGGAGAAAAAAAACCCCAGCCCAAAGCCGGUGUCGGUCGUUGCUCUAAACUGCUGCAUCUGUCUAUGCCAAACUAAUCGAUCCCGAUUGCACCGCAGCGCCCGCUGCGAGCCCGCUGCCCGAGGCACCUGCCAGCCGCCGUCCCCGGGAGCAGCUCGGGAAUCGCUGCCGGAGCCCGCCACCUUCCCAUGCUUGCGGCGGCCGCACUCAGGACGGGAUGCUGAGCGCUCGGGGCUGACCCCGGCCCGCCGCCCCGGCCUUCCCCAGCCCCGCUCACCGUGCCACGCUCUGAACUCCGGUGACACAGCUCUUCCUCCAGAUUGCAGCCACCCAGUUUUACACGUACUUAUUUUAAAAUAGGGAGCGGGGGGGGAAAAAAAAAGUGUUCUGGAGGUGGCGCUUUCAUAAUUUCCAGUUUAUCAGUUCAGCUACUCGUUUGCCCAUUUUUAUUGGAAAUUUUAACUACCUGUAAAAUCUAAAGAUGGCUGUUAGCGUCACACCGAUCCGGGACACAAAAUGGCUAACGCUGGAAGUGUGUAGGGAGUUCCAAAGGGGGACUUGCUCACGACCAGACACGGAAUGUAAAUUUGCACACCCAUCGAAAAGCUGCCAAGUUGAAAACGGACGCGUAAUCGCCUGCUUUGACUCAUUGAAAGGUCGCUGUUCAAGGGAAAACUGCAAAUAUCUUCACCCACCACCACACUUAAAAACGCAGCUGGAGAUCAAUGGGCGGAAUAACCUGAUCCAGCAGAAGAACAUGGCCAUGCUGGCCCAGCAGAUGCAGCUUGCCAAUGCCAUGAUGCCUGGAGCCCCGCUGCAGCCCGUGCCGAUGUUUUCUGUCGCACCGAGCUUAGCCACCAACGCGUCAGCCGCCUUCAACCCCUACCUGGGGCCCGUGUCCCCUGGCCUGGUCCCCGCUGAGAUCCUGCCCACGGCCCCCAUGCUGGUGACAGGAAACCCUGGUGUGCCGGUUCCUGCCGCCGCUGCCGCCGCUGCCCAGAAACUGAUGAGGACAGACAGGCUGGAGGUGUGUCGAGAGUACCAGCGUGGGAACUGCAACAGGGGAGAGAACGACUGCCGGUUCGCUCACCCCGCCGACAGCGCCAUGAUCGACACCAACGACAACACGGUCACCGUCUGCAUGGAUUACAUCAAAGGGAGGUGCUCCCGGGAAAAGUGCAAAUAUUUUCACCCUCCUGCACACCUGCAAGCCAAGAUCAAGGCUGCCCAGUACCAGGUUAACCAAGCUGCAGCUGCCCAAGCAGCAGCGACUGCAGCUGCCAUGACUCAGUCGGCUGUCAAAUCACUGAAGCGACCCCUCGAGGCAACCUUUGACCUGGGAAUUCCUCAAGCUGUACUUCCCCCCUUACCAAAGAGGCCUGCGCUUGAAAAAACCAAUGGUGCCACCGCAGUCUUUAACACUGGUAUCUUCCAAUACCAGCAAGCUCUUGCCAACAUGCAGUUACAGCAGCAUACAGCCUUUCUCCCACCAGGCUCAAUAUUGUGCAUGACACCCGCUACAAGUGUUGUUCCCAUGGUGCACGGUGCUACGCCAGCCACUGUGUCUGCAGCAACAACAUCUGCCACAAGUGUUCCCUUCGCUGCAACAGCCACAGCCAACCAGCCGUGUGCCUGCAUGCCAAAGGCUAAAGAUCUGGCCCUGCAUCUUCCCGGGCUGGUGCUGAAGGUCCUUGGUGUGUUCGACAGCACUGCCCCUGACGCUGCUCCAGUGGGGUUCCACAGCCUGUCCUGCAGCAGCAGGAGAACAUGAUACCCAUAAUAUCUGCCGAACAUCUGACUAGCCACAAGUAUGUUACACAGAUGUAGACAUUUGGUCAUCAAACAAUGGUGUCCGAGGCGGAGAGGCCGGAUUUGGGUGGGAAGAGGCCGAGCUCAUUAGCCAUAGUGUUUGUAAAUACUGUCCAGCAGCACUGGGAACCCCUCAGCAGUGACAUCACACAUUGCAUGUUAACGAGACGAAGCGAGACCGUGGGACUCCACUGCACACUGUUGCCUAUCUACUUUGUACAUUGAAUUGAUAUUUGUGCUGAGGUGAUUUAUUGUCUAAGCCUGCAGCAUCGUCCGCCUUUCCCGGCCCCGGGGCUGCUCCCCACAAUCAUGGACGUCACCGGAAAGACCGACGAUGCUGUAACCAGAAAUCUAUUAUGUAUUGGUACGUCUGUAGACCAAGAUAUAAUUUUUUAAAGUAAGUUUAUUUCUUUCAAGGUUUACAAAUAACAAAGGUGCACCUUGUAUUUAAAAUUGCCAUUAUAGACGAGAGCGUGCAUGCACAGUAAUUUUUGUUUAAGAGUAAUAUUUUUAAUGUAAUAGAUUGUAAGAAAUGAGAAGAGAGGAAUCUGACAGAGAUGAAUGUGCCAAGCAAAACCACAACUGUGUAUAUUUUAAAGCACAUCAAUGGCUUUAAGUACCACGUUGUUAAGGAUUCUCAUGAAGUGCCAUAGACUGUACAUCCAUCAGAGUAUUAUUUCCGCAGUGUUAUUUUCAGAACCACGUUUUCACUGACUUGAUGAGUACUGAUCAGUCAAAGGGCACCAUUCUGUUUCAAACCAAAGCUGUCUCAGAAAUGGCCAAUUGCUCCUCACAGCCAGUGGGCAGCAGCAGAGAGAUGCUCCAGCUGUGCAUAACCCUAUGGACAAUGUUAUCUGUAAACUCUCCCGAGGCGUUGUGUGGCAUAUUUACUGGAUAAGGUGAGCUGCAAAAGGGAAAAGCCAUUUCUGAGACACAGUAACAAAUGUUUGAGGAACUUCUUUUGCUCUAUUUAUAGCCUCUGUCCAGUCACAAGGACUAUAAAUGUUUUGCAGAGAUGGGUUUCACUUUAAUUCAUCAAGUCCCGCGUCCGCGGCGACUCUAAACAAAGACGCAGAAGCACUGACAGCAGAUGCAUGACAAACCAAAAUAGGACAAAUGAGAUGUUAAUUAGUGUAGAAAUUGGGUGGGUUAAUACUCGGGUGAGUUUUAUAUGUGAUUUUUUUUGUUCAGAUUAACUGCUUAUAGCCUUAGAAAGCCUUUACAAAAUAAAAACAAACAAAUAGAUGUGCAUUCAAGUUUUAAGAAUGGAUUCAUCCAAAGGAAUUCCUUUUUGUGGUUUGGAUGUUGCAGCCAGUAAAGGAUAUUUUUGCUCUGUUCAGCCAGGGGCUGCCUGGGGCCAGGCCCCGGGUGGGCAGGGAGGGAGAGGCGCGGGUUCGGUUCUAGAACUCGCCAUACUCCGAGUUUACUGCGAGUUUUUAUGCUUGAGAGAGAUGCUUUAUAGAUAAGAAUGAUGUGUUGAUUUUCCUGAUUGUACUGUACAUCUAUUAAAGCCUUAGAUUAUUACAUUACGGGUUAAAACCCAUACCAAUGUAAUUUCAAUCGUGUUAAGAAAGUAUAGGUGACUUCACAUGUUAUUGUAGUGACUUACCAUAGAGAAUUUACUUAUUUUUUUCUUGUUAAAAAUGUAGUUUUUAUUUCUUACAUUUAUUAGCUCGUUUUCAUUUUCUAUUACCAGUUGAUACCAUUUCAGUUCAUAGAAUUUUGUUUUAUUAGAAUUUACUGAUGACUUUUUCAAAAUACAAAAAAAAAAAAAAAAGUAGUUUUCUUCAUAACAUACUCAGUUUGGAAUCUACAUGUAGUGUCUUAUGAGUAUUCGUAUUAUUGUUAACUAAAUGAUUUCUAUUUUACUGAUCUAAUAUGACAAUGUAAGAAUGUCAGUCAUUGUUAGUUCUUGUCUAGUUUUCAUUAAAAGAACAAAGAUCUUUUAUAUGGAUAUCUUAUAAUUAUAUAAUCAUUGCUAAGUAAGAAGUUAAGUUGUUGCUAUGGCAACAAUCCUGGCAGACAAUUGAGUAAUAUUUUGAUGAUUUAUUUUGUUUGUAAUUAGUUAUUAUGAGAAAAAAAAAAUCUAGUUCCUAGAUAUUAGAAUAAAAUUUAUUUUCUACUGUAUCCAUUUCAAAUGUUAAAAUAUUGUUUAAAUAUUUUUUGAAAUCCCUGAAUAUCAGGCCUUGUUAUAAAUAAGCUGCAUAAUCAAUAGAUCAAGGGACUUUUUGUUGAUAAUCCAAAUACUCAAAGUUUACGUAACAAGAAUUCUAGUGUGUGUGUGCAAACUCUUGAGGGUUGAUUAUGCUGCAGUUGGGACGUCGAGAGCGAAGGUUGACUUUUUGCACUUCUGUAUAUAGUCAAAAAAGAGAGAAACCUGUAUAAUAGUAAGAUCUUAUUUUGAAUAAAAAUGUCUAUAAUUACAAGGAGUUUUGUUAAGGCUAAAUAAAAUGACAGGCUGAACAAAAUUGCUUGCAAAAGUGGCACAGAGUUAGCACUCCAUCCCCCUUCCAAAAAGUUGCUUUGCUUUAUGUGGACAGCUUGUAGUUUGCCAGGAUUUUUUCAGCUGGAAAGAUCUGCCAUCCUUCCGAGAUCUCAUGACUGACAGAAGCUCCACUGGGUCAAAUCUGCCUGAGAAUCAUUAAGAAAAAAAAAAUGAUAAAAAAAAAAUAAAGAAAAUAAAAAGAAAAAAAAAAAGCAGGUACUUCAGCCCAUCCAGGGAAUCAUGGCUCAGAUAUUCCGUACAUUAUUCAAAAUCUACUGCAUGUUUAAAGUAUCAAAAUAUAUUAAAGAUAUAUGCUAUUCAAACCA